rnacentral:pre_miRNA from 1 species
GACAUACUCCCUCUGUCUCAUAUUAAGUGACUCAAAUUUGUCCAAAUAUGAAUGUAUCUAUGCCUAAAAAGCGUCUAGAUACAUGUAAUAGAAAGUCACUUAAUAUGGGACGGAGGGAGUAGUUG